rnacentral:rRNA from 1 species
AACGAACGCUGGCGGCGUGUUUAAGACAUGCAAGUCGCACGGUGUCAUUUUGGUAGCAAUACUUGGAUGGCACAGUGGCGCACGGGUGAGUAACACGUGAAUGACAUGCCCUUCAGAGGGGGAUAGCCCGGGGAAACUUGGAUUAAUACCCCAUGGUCUCGCAAGAGUAAAGGUGGCCGCAAGGCUGUCGCUGGAGGAUUGGUUCGCGUUCUAUCAGCUUGUUGGCGGGGUAACGGCCCACCAAGGCUACGACGGAUACCUGGUCUGAGAGGACGAUCAGGCAGACUGGGAAUGAGACACGGUCCGAGCACCUACGGGUGGCAGCAGUCGAGAAUAAUUCACAAUGGGGGCAACCCUGAUGGUGCAACGCCGCGUGGAGGAUGAAGGUCUUCGGAUUGUAAACUCCUGUCAUCCGGGAGCAAGACCUGACGGUGAAUAGCCGGCAGGGUUGAUAGUACCGGAAGAAUAAGGACCGGCUAACUACGUGCCAGCAGCCGCCGUAAAAC